rnacentral:rRNA from 1 species
UACAGAGGGUGCAAACGUUGCUCGGAAUCAUUGGGCGUAAAGCGCACGUAGGCGGUCAUGUGUGUCAGGAGUGAAAGCCCUCGGCUUAACCGAGGAAGUGCUUUUGAAACUACAUGACUUGAGUACUGAAGAGGGCCGCGGAAUUCCCGGUGUAGAGGUGAAAUUCGUAGAUAUCGGGAGGAACACCAGUGGCGAAGGCGGCGACCUGGGCAGAUACUGACGCUGAGGUGCGAAAGCGUGGGGAGCAAACAGGG